rnacentral:tRNA from 1 species
GGCCUGAUAGCUCAACUGGCAGAGCACUGCACCGGCAAUGCAGAGGUCAGGGUUCAAGUCGCAUUCAGGCCA